CCGGUUGGGUUUGCAAAGCAAUAUGAGGGUUUAUAUGAGAUGGAAUUGGCUCUUUGCAGAUGAGUUCUUUUCAGUCUCUGGAGGUUGCUCUGAACUCUGUUAGCUCUUCUCUCACUAUCUUUUUCCCAGGGUUUUUUUGAGAGAUGAAAGUCUAGAAUUUAUAACCUGAUUUUUGUGACUUUGUGGGCUCAAAAGAGAGAGGUCCAAGUCCAAGAUUUUUCUGUUAUAUUU
rnacentral:lncRNA from 1 species